rnacentral:rRNA from 1 species
UACGUAGGGGGCAAGCGUUGUCCGGAUUUAUUGGGCGUAAAGAGCGUGUAGGCGGUUCGGUAGGUCCGUUGUGAAACUCGAGCUCAACCUCGAGACGCCGAUGGAAACCCUCGAACUAGAGUCCGGAAGAGGAGAGUGGAAUUCCUGGUGUAGCGGUGAAAUGCGCAGAUAUCAGGAGGAACACCUGUGGCGAAAGCGGCUCACUGGACCACAACUGACGCCGAGGCGCGAAAGCUAGGGGAGCAAACAGG